GCAGCAGGUGGCGUAGCGGUUGGCGCGAUCACCUUCCGCGCAAACUGAGCACGUGUUCAAAUCCCGCUCCCGCUGCG
rnacentral:tRNA from 1 species